CGAGGAUUCCCCCAGUAACGGCGAGUGAACGGGGAUGAGCCCAGCGCUAAAUCCUGUUGCUCUAGCGGGUAACGGGAGGUGUAGCGUAUAGUAGGCGAUUUCUCCUUGACGGUUUUCGACUUAAGUUCUCCUUGACUGGGGUUCCAUAGAAGGUGAAAGGCCUGUUCAGUCGAUGGCCGUCUUGGAUUCCGCUUCUCUACUUGGAGUCGGGUUGUUUGGGAACGCAGCCCAAAUUGGGUGGUAAACUUCAUCUAAGGCUAAAUACGGCCACGAGACCGAUAGCAAACAAGUACCGUGAGGGAAAGUUGAAAAGUACUUUGAAGAGAGAGUUCAAGAGGACGUGAAACCGGUAGGAUGGAAACGGAUAGAGCCAACGAACAAGCCCGUAUUCAGCUAGUCGGUUGCGUGCGGCAUGCCUAUACCCUUGAUAAGGGGUACGGGUGUGUGCGGCUAUGCGAUCGGUUAGUGCAUUUGCGGGUGAUGUGCGCUGAGGCGUGUGACAUGGUGUCCGGCGAACCGUAUGGAGAGGCCUCGUUCUUCACGGGACUUGGUACCUACUUGCGGGGAGUCGGGUUGCCGUUGCACGUACGCAGAGUGGCUAGGUGAAUUCGCGUUGGUGUAUCGUCGGCUUAGCUACUUGGUCGGUCGCAUGCGACUAGGCCUUGUUGGUUGGACUUGACGGUGCGCUAAUGCUCUGGCCGAUCCUCGGUGUAAAAGUUGGUCAUCUCUCCGACCCGUCUUGAAACACGGACCAAGGAGUCUAGCGUAUGCGCGAGUCAUUGGGUGGAAAACCCAUAGGCGUAAUGAAAGUGAAGGUCUCUGUACGGAGGCUGAUAUGCGAUCCGUUGUGUUUCGGCGCACCGGAGCAGCAUAGCCCCAUCUCGACCGCUUGCGGUGGGGUGGAGGUAGAGCGUAUUCGCUGGUACCCGAAAGAUGGUGAACUAUGCCUGAGCAGGAUGAAGCCAGGGGAAACCCUGGUGGAAGUCCGAAGCGCUUCUGACGUGCAAAUCGAUCGUCUGACUUGGGUAUAGG
rnacentral:rRNA from 1 species